AGAGUUUGAUCCUGGCUCAGAUUGAACGCUGGCGGCAGGCCUAACACAUGCAAGUCGAACGGUAACAGGAAACAGCUUGCUGUUUCGCUGACGAGUGGCGGACGGGUGAGUAAUGUCUGGGAAACUGCCUGAUGGAGGGGGAUAACUACUGGAAACGGUAGCUAAUACCGCAUAACGUCGCAAGACCAAAGAGGGGGACCUUCGGGCCUCUUGCCAUCGGAUGUGCCCAGAUGGGAUUAGCUUGUUGGUGGGGUAACGGCUCACCAAGGCGACGAUCCCUAGCUGGUCUGAGAGGAUGACCAGCCACACUGGAACUGAGACACGGUCCAGACUCCUACGGGAGGCAGCAGUGGGGAAUAUUGCACAAUGGGCGCAAGCCUGAUGCAGCCAUGCCGCGUGUAUGAAGAAGGCCUUCGGGUUGUAAAGUACUUUCAGCGGGGAGGAAGGGAGUAAAGUUAAUACCUUUGCUCAUUGACGUUACCCGCAGAAGAAGCACCGGCUAACUCCGUGCCAGCAGCCGCGGUAAUACGGAGGGUGCAAGCGUUAAUCGGAAUUACUGGGCGUAAAGCGCACGCAGGCGGUUUGUUAAGUCAGAUGUGAAAUCCCCGGGCUCAACCUGGGAACUGCAUCUGAUACUGGCAAGCUUGAGUCUCGUAGAGGGGGGUAGAAUUCCAGGUGUAGCGGUGAAAUGCGUAGAGAUCUGGAGGAAUACCGGUGGCGAAGGCGGCCCCCUGGACGAAGACUGACGCUCAAGUGCGAAAGCGUGGGGAGCAAACAGGGUUAGAUACCCUGGUAGUCCACGCCGUAAACGAUGUCGA
rnacentral:rRNA from 1 species